GUGGUAACGAGCACGACGGUGGAAUCCCUGGAAUAUCGACCCGCGAUCGAGGCCGGCGUUCGCGCGCGAGACAAUUUUACAUCGAGGCACACAUCGGAGGCAUCGGAGUAUCGUGCCUCGCCUCGCCUUGGAGAUGCUGGUAUCGGUGCAGCAAGUACUGUAGUUGUCAGCUGGAUUUUCGCUCGUGAACGUCGCCGCGUCGUGAGUGACUUGAGUGAGUGCGCCGACAGAGAUGCGACACCGGAGGAGGACCACGGAGAGGAGGAGAAGGUCUGGGAGGCAUCAGGUGACGGCGGAGCAACCGUGGGAUCAACGCAGGGUCACAACUUAUAACUCCGCUGUUGCG